UACGUAGGGUGCGAGCGUUUGUCCGGAAUUAUUGGGCGUAAAGGGCUCGUAGGCGGUUUGUCGCGUCGGGAGUGAAAACCUUGGGGCUUAACUCAGGGCUUGCUUUCGAUACGGGCAGACUAGAGGUAUGCAGGGGGAGAACGGAAUUCCUGGUGUAGCGGUGAAAUGCGCAGAUAUCAGGAAGAACACCCGUGGCUAAGGCGGCUCUCUAGUACGGUACUGACGCUGAGACGCGAAAGCGUGGGGAGCAAACAGG
rnacentral:rRNA from 1 species